rnacentral:tRNA from 1 species
GGCUCUGUGGCGCAAUGGAGAGCGCAUUGGACUUCUAAUUCAAAGGUUGUGGGUUCGAGUCCCACCAGAGUCU